CAGCCCGGGGGCAGCGGUGGCGGGCGGGGCGGCGGGCAGCGCCCCCUGCCGGGGGCGGGCGGUGCCCUCGGAAUGGGAGAACAGGAGAACGUACCCUUGGAUUUGCAGGAACAUGUUUCCUCUUAUUCCUUCCUGUCAGGAUAGGGGGAAUCCUUGUUUGGAGUUGGUUCUGCUGCUGGUCAGAUGUCAAAGAAAGGCCAUGGUGCUUCUGACAGCUCCUGCUUGGGAAGGCGCGAGGCCAAAGCUUUGUUGGUGAUGUCUUUUAGAGGAUGCUGGUGGGGUUCCUGAUGGAGUUAGUUGAGAGAGGAGCGAGGAUGCUUUAGGGAUGUUUGCAGUCGAUGGAGCCGCCUUGGUUCUUGCACCUCUGCCUGAGUAGCUCUGUACCCAGGAUUUUGCCUUUUGGUGGUUGGUCUUUGCAGCCACUCGAGAGCUGAGUGUUCUUGAGAGUCUGCAAUUGCAGGUUAACUCUUAGGUUUAGCGUUCACCUUCCGCAAGAUAAGUCCAAAUCCUGAUUCAGUUCCUCCUCAAUCUGAGGGUUCCUGACCCUGGUUUUGUAGAUGAAAACCCAUCUUAUUUUCAAGAACCUGGUACUGAGGAAAGGACCCAAGAUGAAUAAGUUUUCUGAGGAUUCUGGGUACUGAAGUGAUGGAAACACUGACCAAAUAGCUGAAUAAAAUGUCUUCUUUGUA